rnacentral:rRNA from 1 species
GGGGGAAUUUUUCCGCAAUGGGCGAAAGCCUGACGGAGCAAUGCCGCGUGAAGGAUGAAGGCCUAUGGGUUGUAAACUUCUUUUCUCAGAGAAGAAAUUUUGACGGUAUCUGAGGAAUAAGCAUCGGCUAACUCUGUGCCAGCAGCCGCGGUAAGACAGAGGAUGCAAGCGUUAUCCGGAAUGAUUGGGCGUAAAGCGUCUGUAGGUGGCUUAAAAAGUCUCCUGUCAAAGAUCAGGGCUUAACCCUGGGCCGGCAGGAGAAACUCUUAGGCUAGAGUUGGUAGGGGCAGAGGGAAUUCCCGGUGGAGCGGUGAAAUGCGUAGAGAUCGGGAGGAACACCAAAGGCGAAAGCACUCUGCUGGGCCAUUACUGACACUGAGAGACGAAAGCGAGGGGAGCAAAAGGGAUUAGAUACC